GGCCUCAUCGUCUAACGGUUAGGACACAAGCUUCUCAAGCUUGGAAUCGGAGUCCGACUCUCCGUGAGGUCA
rfam:Parcubacteria (Giovannonibacteria) bacterium GW2011_GWA2_44_13b TW30_C0029, whole genome shotgun sequence.